rnacentral:rRNA from 1 species
UACGUAGGGGGCGAGCGUUGUCCGGAAUCAUUGGGCGUAAAGCGCGUGUAGGCGGCCCGGUAAGUCCGCUGUGAAAGUCCAGGGCUCAACCCUGGGAUGCCGGUGGAUACUGUCGGGCUCGAGUCCGGAAGAGGCGAGUGGAAUUCCCGGUGUAGCGGUGAAAUGCGCAGAUAUCGGGAGGAACACCAGUAGCGAAGGCGGCUCGCUGGGCCAUUCCUGACGCUGAGACGCGAAAGCUAGGGGAGCGAACAGG